UACGGAGGGUGCGAGCGUUGUUCGGAAUCACUGGGCGUAAAGCGCGUGUAGGCGGCCUGCUAAGUCUGAUGUGAAAGCCCGAGGCUCACCCUCGGAAGCGCAUUGGAAACUGGCAGACUGGAGUCCCGGAGAGGAGGGUGGAAUUCCUGGUGUAGCGGUGAAAUGCGCAGAUAUCAGGAGGAACACCAAUGGCGAAGGCAGCUCGCUGGGACGUGACUGACGCUGAGACGCGAAAGCGUGGGGAGCAAACAGG
rnacentral:rRNA from 1 species